UUAGGAGUGCCAGAUAAUAUGGGUGGGGUUUAGGUUUCUAUGAUGGUGUUUUGCCCUCUUGCG
rnacentral:tRNA from 1 species